AGUCAGAGAUAGAUGAGGAGGACGUACAGCCAGAGGAAACAGACACAACUCCUAACAGAGAUGUCUGGUGGUCCCCUCUCCUGCUUCUCCAAACAGGGAAUACUCCUACUCUCUAUCCUCCACUAUGGGAUCUGGGCUGAAGUCCCUCCGAAGGACCUGUAUGGAUUGAGGGGGGGUUCGGUGUGCCUGGCUGUAGCAGAACCACCGCAGGAGCUUGGAAGACAAAGUUGGAAGGUCAAUAGUACCAUAAUAGUUUCUGACAGAAAGGUCUCUCCUAAAUACCAGGAGAAAGUGGAGUAUAAUCCAUUGAACCACUCUCUGUGCAUUAAGAAUCUGAGUGAAAAAGACAGAGGAACUUACAUUGCAACCUAUGAGAAAAAUUGGGAAGAGUUGACUACUACAUACAGACUAACAGUACAGGAGCCUAUAUCCAAGGUGGUGAUCCAGAAGGAGAUCACGCUAUUGGCCAACCAGUCCUGUUCAGUGUGGCUGAUGUGCAACGUGUCAGUCUGCUCCAACAUCUCCUACACCUGGGAGAGAGGGAAUGAAACAUACAGGGACGACGAGCAGAUACACUUCUUUCUGUUACCAGCAGACGGAGACAUCAGUGUAACCUGCACUGCCUCCAACACAGGCUGGUGUGGUGUAUCAUCUGCAUUGUAGUGGUGUUGAUCCUCAUUGUAGCGGUGGCAGUGUAUUGCUGCAGGGGCCACUGUAACACGGACACAGUAUAUCAAAAUGACAAGACAAUAUAUGCGGAUGUUAUGGGCAGUACAAUAAAUAAAGAUACAAGAGGGACAGUGGAUGAUCUGGUUGAACCAAGACUGAACAAGCCGCAGACUCUGUACGACAAGAUCAAAGUUGGACACCCAAAAGCGCCCUCUUCUGCCUACCAGGAAGUACUUGUGAGCUGAGCAGGAUGUGUUCAUAGGAAGGGCCUUAUAUCUCUGCAUCAUCUGCAUCCAAGGCUACAGUCUGUAGAUGGAUGUUACUGUUAACUUUUAUCACGACUUGCACAUUUCAGACAUUUGCUGCUUAUUUUUUUCAUGAUUGCAAUCUUCUCCCUUUAUUAUUCCUCAUAUACAGUGGGGCAAGAAAGUAUUUAGUCAGCCACCAAUUGUGCAAGUUCUCCCACUUAAAAAGAUGAGAGAGGCCUGUAAUUUUCAUCAUAGGUACACUUCAACUAUGACAGACAAAAUGAGUAAAAAAAUCCAGAAAAUCACAUUGUAGGAUUUUUUAUGAAUUAAUUUGUAAAAUAUGGUGGAGAAUAAGUAUUCGGUCAAUAACAAAAGUUUAUCUCAAUACUUUGUUAUAUACCCUUUGUUGGCAAUGACAGAGGUCAAACGUUUUCUGUAAGUCUUCACAAGGUUUUCACACACUGUUGCUGGUAUUUUGGCCCAUUCCUCCAUGCAGAUCUCCUCUAGAGCAGUGAUGUUUUGGGGCUGUUGCUGGGCAACACGGACUUUCAACUCCCUCCAAAGAUUUUCAAUGGAAAUAAGAUCUGGAGACUGGCUAGGCCACUCCAGGACCUUGAAAUGCUUCUUACAAAACCACUCCUUCGUUGCCCGGGCGGUGUGUUUGGGAUCAUCGUCAUGCUGAAAGACCCAGCCACGUUUCAUCUUCAAUGCCCUUGCUGAUGGAAGGAGGUUUUUACUCAAAAUCUCACGAUACAUGGCCCCAAUCACUCUUUCCUUUAUACGGAUCAGUCGUCAUGGUCCCUUUGCAGAACAACAGCCCCAAAGCAUGAUGUUUCCACCCCCAUGCUUCACAGUAGGUAUGGUGUUCUUUGGAUGCAACUCUGCAUUCUUUGUCCUCCAAACACGACGAGUUGAGUUUUUACCAAAAAGUUAUAUUUUGGUUUCAUCUGACCAUAUGACAUUCUCCCAAUCUUCUUCUGGAUCAUCCAAAUUCUCUCUAGCAAACUUUAUUCUCUCUGCUAUAAUUCUGACAUUUCACAUUCUUAAAAUAAAGUGGCGAUCCUAACUGACCUAAGACAGGGAAUUUUUAGUUGGAUUAAAUGUCAGGAAUUGUGAAAAACUAAGGUGUAUGUAACCUUCCGACUUCAACUGUAUCUCCUGUAGGCCACCAUCAGGCAGCCAGGAGACAGACAGCAGCACUGACCCCCAGGACUGCAGCCACAUCUGUACUGACCCCCUGUACAGGAGAGGGAGGGUCAAAGGUCAGGCUCAGGUCAGGGGUUGUGAUCUGGUGUAACAGGGAAACACUGAGGGAGAAUUGUUUUUAUUUUACCUUUAUUUGUAUAGGUUUUUCUCUUUUCCAAGAGGGACCUGGUCCAAUAGCAGCUGAGGGAACAACUUUUCAGACAAAACAACUAACAUACACUAACACAACAUUAACUAUAAACACACAUACAGUACAACAAAAACAUUGUACAUUUAAAAACACAAACGUCUUGACUAAAAACAGCUGGUCUAAAAACAAUUACACUCUUCUAUGAUAUAUACAUCGAUCAAGUGUUUAAACUCCACCAACGAAACUAGAUCAUUACAUUUUAAAAUGUUCAUGACAGAAUUCCAGGACCACAGAGCUAAGUAACUAAAACUAUUUCUACCAUGUCCUGUUCUAAUUUUGAUAUUGAUAUUUAUUUACUGACCUGACUAAAAAAAGAACAGAGAUAAAAUUGAAUAAUUAUAGAGACACAUUUUAUUCAUACUAAAUGUAUACAUAACAUUGCAUUUCUGAUUUACUGAACAAUAAUUGUUGUCUGAGAAAAAUAAAUGCUGUUUAAAACUUGAAAUAAUAUAAUUUAAAGUA